AAAUCAUGUUGAGGGAAAUUCCAAAGGAAUCCUUUGUAUCUCUCCCAAUCUUUGUAUAAGGACUCGCCAUCGUUCUGGUUGGAAAUUAGCAAUCUUCUUUUUGAGUUU